rnacentral:rRNA from 1 species
UACGACUACAUAUCAGGCAUAUCAAUAAGCGGAGGAAAAGAAACUAACUAGGAUUCCCUUAGUAACGGCGAGUGAAGCGGGAAGAGCUCAAAUUUGAAAUCUUCAAGGUUUACCUUGACGAAUUGUAGUUUAAAGAAGUGUUUUCUGUUGAAGUUUUGGUAAAAGUUCUUUGGAAUAGGACAUCAUAGAGGGUGAGAAUCCCGUAUUUGACCAUUAUUUUCAGCUGUGUGAUACACUUUCAAAGAGUCGGAUUGUUUGGGAAUGCAGUCCAAAAUGGGUGGUAAAUUUCAUCUAAAGCUAAAUAUUGGCGAGAGACCGAUAGCGAACAAGUACCGUGAGGGAAAGAUGAAAAGAACUUUGAAAAGAGAGUUAAACAGUACGUGAAAUUGUCAAAAGGGAAGCGUUUGACACCAGUGUUGUUUUUCCGAAAAUCAAUUAUAAAUGUUUUGUUUCUGAGGAGUGAUGACUUCAUCGGCUUCCUUCUCUCUUCACGAAACUUUUGUAAUGCACUUUUCGGUUAACAAGUCAACAUCAAUUUCUUUUGUUGUAAAAGAGUAUUCGGAAGGUGGCUUUCUUUUCGGAGAAAGUGUUUAUAGCCCUAUACUUCUACAAUCGGAGAGAUUGAGGUCUGCAGCGUAGAUCCUUCGGGGUUAGAUACAUUUGUGCUAAGUUAUAGCUUUUCUUAGACAACUUGUUGACUAUGUUUAGUCUUGUAGCUUACUCGCUUAUGCUAUUUUACCUACGCUUAGGAUGUUGAGCGCAUGUCUCUCUCU